UAUUUAAGCCAUCGCGAUAGAAGGCUAUGAACCUGGUCAGGAUAGGAAUAUAGCAGCCAUAAGUAGUUCUUCUAUGUGCGUUGUUUUUAUUUUAG
rnacentral:SRP_RNA from 1 species